AUUGAACGCUGGCGGCAUGCCUUACACAUGCAAGUCGAGCGGCAGCGCGGGGGCAACCCUGGCGGCGAGCGGCGAACGGGUGAGUAAUGCAUCGGAACGUGUCCUCUUGUGGGGGAUAACCAGUCGAAAGACUGGCUAAUACCGCAUGAGAUCGAGAGAUGAAAGCGGGGGACCGCAAGGCCUCGCGCGAGAGGAGCGGCCGAUGCCGGAUAGCUAGUUGGCGGGGUAAUAGCCCACCAAGGCGACGAUCCGUAGCUGGUCUGAGAGGACGACCAGCCACACUGGGACUGAGACACGGCCCAGACUCCUACGGGAGGCAGCAGUGGGGAAUUUUGGACAAUGGGCGCAAGCCUGAUCCAGCCAUGCCGCGUGUGUAGAAGAAGGCC
rnacentral:rRNA from 1 species